AUGGAAGCCGCACGGAUCGCGUCCUUUCUGCUCCUCCUCGGGGUCGUUUGGUCACGCGCACAGCCCGGCGCCGAGGCGGCCGGCACGACGGUCUUCACGCUGCGCAACAACUGCACCUUCACGAUCUGGCCGGCCACAUUGUCCGGCAACAGCGUCGUCGCCGUCGGGGGCGGCGGCUUCGAGCUCGCGCCCGGCGCCAACGUGUCGUUCCCCGGCCCGACGGGCUGGUCCGGCCGGCUCUGGGCGCGCACCGGCUGCGUCGCCGCGGAAACCGGCGCGUCCCUCGCCUGCGCCACGGGCGACUGCGGCGGGGCCGUGAGUUGCACCCUCGGCGGGGCGCCCCCCGUCACGCUCGCCGAGUUCACCCUCGGGGGCGCCGACGGGAAGGACUUCUACGACGUGAGCCUGGUCGACGGGUACAACGUGGGCAUCGGCGUGGCGGCCACGGGCGCCAGGGUGAACUCCUCGACGUGCGGCUACGCCGGGUGCGUGGGCGACGUGAACGCGCUGUGCCCCGCGGAGCUGCAGGUGGCCGGAAAGGAAGGGGACGAGGAGGGGAUGACGGUGGCGUGCCGGAGCGCGUGCGAGGCGUUCGGGACGGCCGAGUACUGCUGCACGGGCGCGCACGGCGGGCCGGACAGCUGCGGGCCGACCAAGUACUCGAGGCUGUUCAAGGCGGCGUGCCCCGCCGCCUACAGCUACGCCUACGACGAUCCCACCAGCACCUUCACCUGCGGCGCCGGAGCGCAGUACCUAAUCACCUUUUGCCCCGCGCAGCAGUAG
rnacentral:rRNA from 1 species